GGAGCAGGGAGGGCUCCAGGCUGCUACCGGGCAGGUAGGCCAGGCCAGGGGGUUUGCUUGCCCCAAAUAGAUGGGCAGAGCCUACCUGUGAUGAGGAGGGAGGAGACUUCAAAACAACCAGGGGUUGUGAGAUGGAAGAAAGUGCUUUACAAGGCCACAUCAGCUAGGCAUUUUGGGUGAGAAAAGGAUGGAGGCUCUUCCACUCAUUUGGGAAUCUUGGGCAACCAGGAAAACCUACAGUGACAGUCUUACUGCAACCAUAGUGUCAACUGAUCCUGAUUUCCAAAUCUGAAGAUUGGCUGGAGAGGGACCAUAUUCAUGAUAGUCCAACUUGUGCAAGUAAUAAUGUUUUGCCAAAUAUCAUGAAAGGAGUCAGAUUUUUCUUUUCUCUUCCACAUGUGGAUUAGAUGGGUUAUUUUUUCUGCUAUUGCAAUCUUCCACAAUUUUUUAUAUCAUAGUCCAAUGUUCAAAGUUGAGACACAGUCUUUUUAUUGUCAUCUUCCCUGGCUGGGUAUCCAUCUAAUUUUUUCGGAGGGAGGGGAAGUAUCAGGUGGCUAGGAGUCUACGGAAUAUCAAAAGGGUACCUUAGUACUUUAUCCCCAUUUCAAAUAUCCAUCCUGCUUUUAGAUAUUCAGGUAAAGCAGACUGCUUGGGAGAAGAGAUGGACACUAAAUGGAUAGGAAUGCACACACCACAUGCUGCCCUUUUUGCUGAGAAACUCCAUACUGUUAAUUAAGCUCAACUUCUCCAACAGAGAACUUGUCAGGGAAGAAUGUCUAUUUUUUCCACAUACACUGAUACUGUUGGUGCCACUUGAAGUUUCCAAUCACAUGUUUUCAAGCACAGCUGAAGCAUUGUAUGUAAAAACCCAAAGAAAGAAUUUGGGCAUUCAGUUGUGAACUCUUACUUUAAAACUUUUCUUUCCCUUAUGAGUAAAGCUGUAGAUAAAACUUUUACCAUGCCCCUAUCGGUAGUGUAACCAGGGGAAAGAGAAAAUGAAGGGGGCUGCCAAUUAGUCACUUAGCCCACAUAAACCAGAACAGCUCAGAAGGACCAAAAUGAAAAUAAAACAAAGAGG